UCAGAGAAAUUCAAAUGGAAACCACAAUGAGAUAUCAUCUCAUAUGUCAGAGUGGGUAUUAAAAAGUCAAAAAACAGCGUGGAUGUGGUGGAAAGGUAACGCUUACACGCUGUUGGCAGGAACGUAAAUUAGCACAACCUUGAUGGAAAACCGUGUAGAGGUUUUUCUAAGAACUAAAAGUAAACCUACCAUCCAAUCCGGCAAUCCUGCUUCUGGGUAUCUAUCCAAAGGAAAAGAAACCCUAUCAAAAAGACAUUUGCAUUCACAUGUUUAUCAGGGCAUCAUUCACAACCGCAACAACGUGGAAACAACUGGUGACUGGAUAAAGUGUGAUGUGGAUACCUCCAUGGAGUACUACUCAGCCAGAACAGAGAAUGUCUUUUGCAGCAACAUGGUUGGAACUGGAGACCAUUAUGUAAGUUAAAUAACUCAAAAAGUCAAAUAUUGCACGUUCUGACUUGUACGCAUGGGCUAAGGAAUGAGUGCACAUGGACACAGAGUGGAAUGAUAGACACUGGAGAUUCGGAGGGUGAGAGGGUGGUGUGGGAUGAAAAAUUACCCAAUGGGUGCUUGGUACACUAACCAGGUGAGUGCUAGACAAAACAUAUCCGUGUAACAAAUCUGCACGUACAUCCCAUAAGUGUACAUCCCAUAAAUAAAAGGAAAAAGAUGUAAAAGAAUCAAUAUUUAUUGGAACGCAGCCAUGCUCAUUCACUCCUGCACUGCCUAGGGCUGCUUCUGGUGGACAAGGGCAGAGCUGAGUAGUUGUGACAGAGACGAGAGGGCCCACAGGAUCCAAAAUGUUUAUUGCCUGGUCUUUUACAGGAAACCUUUGCUGGCCCCUGCUCCAGAUUAGGAGCAUGAUGAGGUAGAGGCUCAUUGCUCCUGUGUGCCUCUGUGGUGCCAUGAGUCAGCAAGGGCUCAGCACUCACUGCCUGGGAUUGCUCUUGUCAGGCACAGCUGGGAGGAGGCAGCUGGGAUCCCAGUGUGGAGGGACUGCCCCAGCUCCUCCUCCACCUGCUUUGGAGCAAAGAUACUCCCAGGUUCUCUGUUUCCACCUCAUGAAAUCCUUUCCUGCCCAGCAAUUGCUUUUGGAUGGAACACCAGGCAGAGUCUGCGUAAGGCUGGGGAUGGGGACUUCACUCCAUGGCCUGGUCCUGCUCCCUGAGAAUUGCUGCAGUCCCGGAAAAAUAAAGUACACAGACACAAAGACGGUUGAAGACUGCAGCACCUUGAAGCGCCAGUCGUUUUACUUUUAUACUGUUUAAUUGGGCAAGCGUCCCGCAGCUAUUUUCUCAUGCCAGCUAUUUUCCUAGCUACGUUUUGGUACGUGACUUCCCACGGCCAACAGCACCUGUUCCUCCAGUCAUAGCACCAGAGAUGCCCUUCAAUGAUAUUUACAUUCUCUCUUCUACUGUCUGUUACUGCAUCAGGACACCAGACAACCCUGGCUCACAUGCGAGACCACAGGUCCUCGGCCGUCUGCAACGUCUGGCACCGCGUGCAGGACACCAGACAACCCUGGCUCACAUGUGAGACCACAGGUCCUUGGCCGUCUGCAACGUCUGGCACCGCGUGCAGGACACCAGACAACCCUGGCUCACAUGCGAGACCAUGGGUCCUUGGCCAUUUGCCUGGAGGAACAGUUCUCUCUGCUGGUCAACAAGUCACGUCCUGCUAGUUGUGGGAACAAGCAAUGGGCUCCCCGUUCUGCUGACUGGGUCUCGGCCAAUCUGACCCAGGGACGGCUUGCGUCACCAACUGGAAAGCUAGCUCUCUAAAUAUAUUAUUAAAUAAUAAAGCCUGAAUGUAUACACAAAAUCUAAAAUAAGGCAACCUCCCCCAAAUUAAAUAUUUGUCCGCAGUUAUAUCACGGGAUCUACUUAAGCUACUCAACAUACCCAUCACUUCAUAUAUUUAUCUUUUUUUUUUUUUGUAUUGUGAACAUUUAAAACCUAUCUCAGCAAUUUUGAUACAUAUUACCUUAUUACUAUUAAUAACUAUAGUCACUCUGUUUUGUAGUAGAUCUCAAAAACUUACUCUUGUGGGUUUCUCACCUAAAGAAUUUGACUAAGGGGACAGGGAGGAGACAUUUUGACAAAACAUUACAUUCUCCCCACAAUGCAAGUCAUUAUUACAGAGGGGGUUUGGAGUGAGCCCCUGGUCUUUCCCUGCUACCAAUGCAGCAGGUGGAGAGAGAAGGCUCUUGAGAGCAGGGGCAGCUCUGUUUACAACGGGAAGCAUCCCAAGCACCCCAUGGUAUGACCAUCAUUGAAUCAGUACUACCCAGUGCUGUGCAUGAGGCAGAGAGAGCAUCACGGGUAGAGUCUGCCACUACGGAGCUCAAAUCUGUUACCAUUCACUGUGGGGUCAGCCAGCACAGGGUAGCAGACUGAUUACCAGGCCCACUUCCGUUGUGAAGGGAGAAAUAUUUUGUUCUUACCGGACUAGGCACUUACUCAGGAUACAGAUUAGCCUACCCUGGAUGCAAUGCUUCUGCCAAAAGUACCAACCGCUAACUCACAUAAAUCACCUGUCAACCAGCAAGACAUUCUGGAAACAUUAUUUAUGGUCAAGGGACUAAAUCCAGAGAUAAUAAUGUGUGGACUGGGCCUAUGUUCGUGCGAUUCUGUGGUGCUACCAUAUUUUCUCCCGCCCCCAGUCGGCUGGUUUGAUGGAGUGGUGGGGAGGGGGCUUGAAGAGUCUGUUACAGCACCAGAUCCCUGGCAAUACUUUGCAGGGCUGUGGCAGGUUCUGCAGAAAGCUGUUAUGCUCUGAAUCAGCAUCCAACAUGGGUGCUGUUCCUCACACAGCUGUGACGUAUGGGUCCCUCAAUCAAGGUGCGGAAAUGGGUCAGCACCAGUCACUGUUGCCUCUAGUGACCCUCCACAAAACGUUUGCCUCCUGACCCCACAGCUUCAUACUCUGCUGGCCAGGAGGUAUCAGAGAGAAACACAGGAAUGGAGACAGCAAGGGCCCUACUGAAGUGGAAGUCAAGACGGCAUCCAGACACUGCCCUGCCUCUCAACCAACAGGCAAAGAAGGGACUCACGGUGCCGGCUGCGGGAUUGAUCCUUACAACCGUGAGGAAAUCGGGCUUAUUUUCCACACUGGAGAUUUUCAUGAUAUUUGACAUUAAAGAGAAAGGAAGAAUAAUAUGGGAAAAUGAGUGUUUUGAGAAUCUAUGAUACCUGGUGUCUCUUAGUCCUCUGUCAUAGAAAAGGGAAGAUUAUUUCUGGAACUAAAUGAGAGUACUGAUUAUUCUUUUAUCAAAAACGAUUAUCACCAAAGGACUCACUGUGGCAUAGGCAUUGACCACCAGCGUCUGGACACCCAGCAUGACGGGGCCGUAUGCCAGCAACACAAUCGUGCAGAAGGAGAUGACCAGGUCCACCCAGUACAUGACCACAAAGAAACUGACCAGGAGCAGGAUGAUCUGGGUGGCCCUUUUCUCCGGGGAGAUG